rnacentral:rRNA from 1 species
AGUUGAUCAUGGCUCAGAACGAACGCUGGCAGCGUGGAUUAGGCAUGCAAGUCGAACGGGAUCGGGAAGGUAGCAAUAUCGGCCCGUGAGAGUGGCGGAAGGGCGAGGAACACGUGGGCAACCUGUCCUUGAGGUGGGGAAAACCGUUGGAAACGACGGCUAAUACCGAAUGUGGCGCCGGGAGGCAUCUUCCGCGCGCUAAAGGGGGCCGCAAGGCUCCCCCUCUUCGAGGGGCUCGCGCACCAUCAGCUUGUUGGCGGGUAACGGCCCACCAAGGCUCACGGUUAGCUGGUCUGAGAGGAUGGCCAGCCGCACUGGGACUGAGAUACUGCCCAGACUCCUACGGGAGGCUGCAGUCGAGGAUCAUUCGCAAUGGGGGAAACCCUGACGAUGCGACGCUGCGUGGAAGGAUGAAGGCCCUCGGGUUGUAAACUCCUGUCAUGAGGGAAAAGGCGAGGGGACCCAACACGUCCCUUAGUUGAUGGUACCUCAAGAGGAACGGGCGGCUAACUCUGUGCCAGCCGCUGC